rnacentral:tRNA from 1 species
GAGGGUAUAGCUCAGAGGUAGAGUGCAUGCCUAGCAUGCACAAGGUCUUGGGUUCAAUCCCUAGUACCUCCA